rnacentral:rRNA from 1 species
CUGGCUCAGAUUGAACGCUGGCGGAAUGCUUUACACAUGCAAGUCGAGCGGCAGCGCGGGGCAACCUGGCGGCGAGCGGCGAACGGGUGAGUAAUACAUCGGAACAUACCCAGUCGUGGGGGAUAACACUUCGAAAGAAGUGCUAAUACCGCAUACGUCCUGAGGGAGAAAGCGGGGGAUCUUCGGACCUCGCGCGAUUGGAGUGGCCGAUGUCAGAUUAGCUAGUUGGUGGGGUAAAGGCCUACCAAGGCGACGAUCUGUAGCUGGUCUGAGAGGACGACCAGCCACACUGGGACUGAGACACGGCCCAGACUCCUACGGGAGGCAGCAGUGGGGAAUUUUGGACAAUGGGGGCAACCCUGAUCCAGCCAUUCCGCGUGAGUGAAGAAGGCCUUCGGGUUGUAAAGCUCUUUCGGCAGGAACGAAACGGCGCGCUCUAACAUAGCGCGUUAAUGACGGUACCUGAAGAAGAAGCACCGGCUAACUACGUGCCAGCAGCCGCGGUAAUACGUAGGGUGCGAGCGUUAAUCGGAAUUACUGGGCGUAAAGCGUGCGCA